rnacentral:rRNA from 1 species
AUUGAACGCUGGCGGCAGGCCUAACACAUGCAAGUCGAACGGUAACAGGAAACAGCUUGCUGUUUCGCUGACGAGUGGCGGACGGGUGAGUAAUGUCUGGGAAACUGCCUGAUGGAGGGGGAUAACUACUGGAAACGGUAGCUAAUACCGCAUAACGUCGCAAGACCAAAGAGGGGGACCUUCGGGCCUCUUGCCAUCGGAUGUGCCCAGAUGGGAUUAGCUAGUAGGUGGGGUAACGAGUCACCUAGGCGACGAUCCCUAGCGGGUCUGGGGAGAUGACCAGCCACACUGGAGCUGAGACACGGCCCAGACUCCUACGGGAGGCAGCAGUGGGGAAUAUUGCACAAUGGGCGCAAGCCUGAUGCAGCCAUGCCGCGUGUAUGAAGAAGGCCUUCGGGUUGUAAAGUACUUUCAGCGGGGAGGAAGGGAGUAAAGUUAAUACCUUUGCUCAUUGACGUUACCCGCAGAAGAAGCACCGGCUAACUCCGUGCCAGCAGCCGCAGUAA